ACGGGGUGCAGCAGGCGCGAAAACUCCACAAUGUACGACAGUACGAUGGGGUUAUCUCGAGUGCAGUCCGAUAAGGGCUGCUUUUCCAUAGAGUAAUAUCCUGUGGGAAUAAGAGGGGGGCAAGACUGGCGUCAGCCGCCGCGGUAACACCAGCCCCUCGAGUGGUGGGGACUAUUAUUUGGCCUAAAGCGUCCGUAGCUGGCUGUAUCCGUCCCCCGUUAAAUCCAGCGUCCUAAGCGUUGGACUGCGGGUGAUACCAUACAGCUAGAGGGUGGGAUAGGUGAGCGGUAUUUCUGGGGUAGGGGCGAAAUCCUUUGAUCCCAGGAGGACCACCAGUGGCGAAGGCUGCUCACUAGAACACGCCUGACGGUCAGGGACGAAAGCUGGGGCAGCGAACCGGAUUAGAUACCCGGGUAGUCCCAGCUGUAAACGAUGCCAGCUAGGUGUUGGGUCGGCCACGCGCCGCCCCAGUGCCGCAGGGAAGCCGUUAAGCUGGCCGCCUGGGGAGUACGGCCGCAAGGCUGAAACUUAAAGGAAUUGGCGGGGGAGCAC
rnacentral:rRNA from 1 species